rnacentral:misc_RNA from 1 species
AAGUCGUAACAAGGUAACCGUAGGUGAACCUGCGGUUGGAUCAUUAGUGGUUUUUACGUAGCGCUGUUGUAGUGUUUCUGUGUGGUGUUGGGGUUGGUCUUUGCGUUUGUUGUUGGUUGUUUGUCUGUUUUUGUGCCUUGUGCGGUGCCUGGCAGUACAAACGAUCGACGGCAACACUCGGACCAGACCCAAGACCUUUACAGACAAUAGACGUCUUUGCUUGCUUUGAUGAAACCAAAUCAAAAACAACUUUUGACAACGGAUCUCUUGGCUCUC